AUCGUGCCAAAUCGGCAGCGGUUCCGGGGCGGGGCGUGACAUAAUUUUAAAAUUUAAAUUUUAAAUUUAAAUUUUGAUAUUUUAAUUUGAAAUUUAAAAUUUGAUAUUUAAUAUUUUUUAAAUUUAAAUUUGAUCUUAAAUUUAAAGUUUGAAAUUUAAAUUUUAAAAUUUUGAAUUUAAAAUUUGAGAUUUUAAAUUUCAAAGUUAAAAUUUUAAAUUUAAAAAUAUAUAUAUUUAAAAAUUUAAAAAUUUAAAUUCAAAUAUAAUAAGAGAAUAAUAUGAUUAUUUUUUAUUUAUAAAACCCACUAUCUUUCUUAUUCUGUCUUACCUAACCAAACGCUAUUUUUUUUAUUCUCAGGAAUAACCUAAUUUUCAUCCAAACGCAAAAUUGAUUUAACCCCUGCUUAUACCUCAAUUUANAUUUAAAAAUUUAAAAAUUUAAAUUCAAAUAUAAUAAGAGAAUAAUAUGAUUAUUUUUUAUUUAUAAAACCCACUAUCUUUCUUAUUCUGUCUUACCUAACCAAACGCUAUUUUUUUUAUUCUCAGGAAUAACCUAAUUUUCAUCCAAACGCAAAAUUGAUUUAACCCCUGCUUAUACCUCAAUUUAUACAUAUUCCUGAAAUAGUCAUUUUUUGUUUAUCCUCGAACCAAACGAUACCUUAGUGUAUAAAACACCUCUUCUACUAAAGAAAACUAACAUCCCCAAUAUUUUAAAAUUUAAUAUAAUACUCACAAACUCUUUACAAUAUAAAUAGUAAAUAAUUAAAUAAAAAUAAAUUUUAAAUAAAUUUUAAGUGUAUUUUGGUAUGGAUAGAUUAGUUUGAUAUAAUGGAGAUGAUCGGUAAAAGAUGGAAAUAAUUCUGCCAUGUGUUUAUAUAUAGUUUGGACAAUAAAAAUGACGGUGAGAGAUGAUAGAAAUAACGGGUUUAAUAGUAAACAUACAUAAAUAUGUUAGGAAAGACUUACUUGGGCCAUUAUGUGACCCGAUUUUGAUAAGUGUAGCCAAAUUUCGAUGUUAGAAACGUAUUGGGUUCGAUUUGUAGUUGAAAGAAUUUUAUAUUACAUGGGUCAAAAAAGAUUAAAAAAAAAAAAAUCCUUGAUUGACUAAAAUCAAAUAAACAAAAAAUUUAUAUAGUAAAAUUAAAAUUUUGAACAGUUGGUAGUCAAAUUAAAAGUGAUCUAUACUUCAAAUAAGUUCUAUAUAUUUUUACGAGAAGAAAAUAAAAAACUAUAGC
rnacentral:lncRNA from 1 species